UAAUACUGACACUGAGGCUCGAAAGCGUGGGUAGCAAACAGGAUUAGAUACCCUGGUAGUCCACGCCGUAAACGAUGUCUACUAGUCGUUGGGUCCCUUGAGGACUUAGUGACGCAGCUAACGCAAUAAGUAGACCGCCUGGGGAGUACGGCCGCAAGGUUAAAACUCAAAUGAAUUGACGGGGGCCCGCACAAGCGGUGGAGCAUGUGGUUUAAUUCGAUGCAACGCGAAGAACCUUACCUGGUCUUGACAUAUCUAGAAUCCUGCAGAGAUGCGGGAGUGCCUUCGGGAAUUAGAAUACGGGUGCUGCAUGGCUGUCGUCAGCUCGUGUCGUGAGAUGUUGGGUUAAGUCCCGCAACGAGCGCAACCCUUGUCCUUAGUUACCAGCGGGUUAAGCCGGGAACUCUAAGGAUACUGCCAGUGACAAACUGGAGGAAGGCGGGGACGACGUCAAGUCAUCAUGGCCCUUACGACCAGGGCUACACACGUGCUACAAUGGUAGGUACAGAGGGCAGCUACACAGCGAUGUGAUGCGAAUCUCAAAAAGCCUAUCGUAGUCCAGAUUGGAGUCUGCAACUCGACUCCAUGAAGUAGGAAUCGCUAGUAAUCGCGGAUCAGAAUGCCGCGGUGAAUACGUUCCCGGGCCUUGUACACACCGCCCGUCACACCAUGGGAGUUGAUUGCACCAGAAGUGGAUAGCUUAACCUUCGGGGGAGCGUUCACCACGGUGUGGUUGAUGACUGGGGUGAAGUCGUAACAAGGUAGCCGUA
rnacentral:rRNA from 1 species